rnacentral:pre_miRNA from 1 species
AGUGGGAUAGCUGGGUCAAAUGGUGGCUCCAUUAAAAAAUUUCUAAGGAAUCUCCAUACUGCUUUCCAGAGUGGUUGCACCAAUUUGCAAUCCCACCAGCAAU